UGUGGUAAGUUCUUACAGCAGACCUAGGAAAUGAACCCAGGCCCUGAAGGUGUGUGUGUGUGUGUGUCUUUAAAGCUUCAUAGCUUGCUAGAAAAUGUAUCAAAGUUGCUCUUUCUAGAUCAAUGUUUUCUGGCUAUACAGCAGGCCUUUUCAAUAUGGACAUUUGCAUUUUCUCCUACUUCUGGAGAGUUUUCUCUGAUUAUAGUCAUGUUUCAUGGCUUUGUCUUUCUUCCUCAGGAACUCCUACUAUAUACGUUGGAUUUUAUUUGCCUGUCUUCCAUUUCAAUCUCAUCUCUUCAAUUCUGCUUGCAUCAUCUGUUAUUUCAUGUUUGUUCUCUUGGUUGUUUAUCUGCCCUUCUUCAAUGUUGAAAUUGUUCAACGUUCAAAUCUAUUUUCCUUUGAGCACUUUGUACUUUAUUCUUCAUUUUUGAAAUGCUUUUGUAUUUUUCCUCAAUUUAUUUUUCUAGGUCAAUCAACUCUUGUUUCAUUUUUUUCUGUUUUGUGCUCAUUUAGGGCCUUAGGGUUUAAAUUUCUGAUUUGGGUUUUUUUUCUAAAUAUCUCCAAUUGUUUGACCAGAGUGACUUCAGUUUGGAAUGUUGUCGUGUAGUUUUCUUCUGCUUUGUGGUUGGUUUCGGGGGGAAAAUUUCCAUCAAUUAAACUGUUAUGAUUCUCAUUUUCUACGUCCUUCUAAUAGUAGGUCUUUAUGGAGAUAGGUGUUUUUGUUUUUUCUUUUCCUAGCAUUUUGUAGACAGAGUUCCUAACUCAAGAAUACCCUCUCCUGCCAGUGCAGUGAAGUGAAACACGUUUAGUGAACAGUAAGGAAAGAGGAGUCAUCACGUCUUCUCUCUUUCAUUUCUGCAAGAUCCUCAAUUUUCUCCUUAGUUGCUUCUUUCUCUUUGCUGCCAAGUCUCUAAGAGGCACCAUCCUUUCUUGGUUUUCCUGCUUCUCCAAGAAGCAAUGCUUUCUCGAAGCUGCUGCUUCUGGUCCUGUUGACUUUCAAGCUGCUUCUCUCUAACUGUGCUGUGAAUGUGUAACUUGGUCUUGAAAGGUACUCUUUCUCUGGGUGAUUUUGUCUAUGCUACAUCUAAUUCUUCCACGCCUCUUUACUCUUUUUCCCGGAGAUUUUAAGACUCCUCUCUCCCACACUCUGUACCCAGCUUAUAGAGAUAAGUGACAGGAGCUCUCUUGGAAUUUGGUGUUUAUUUCUUUACUUAUUGGUAAUUUGAAGUUUGUGACAUUCUCUGUCUUCUAUUAAUGCUGAAGACAGGGGUCAUGUGUGGUUUCCUUGUGCUCUUGUUGAAUUUAAGGGUUGUAUGGAGAGAUUCAAUUUCAGGGGGCUGCACAUAUCAUCCAAACCUGGAAACUCCCUUAGAUUAGUGUUUCUCGAUCUUUUUGAACCCAUUUUCUCUGUUCGUCACACGAACAUUGCAUACGCUAUGAAAAUGUUUAUAAAAUUCAAAAUAGAUAAAGAACUGAGAACAAAUCAAGGCAAUGAGAAAAAGUACCAUUUUCUCUCUAGACACAAACUUUCCCCUCCCCAGAUUCUGAUGAGUAAAGAUUUCCUCAUCCUUUCCUCCAAAUCACUGAACUGAAUAAUUUUCAGAGCCAUUGUCUUAGUCAGUUGGGGCUGCAACAACAAACUCCCAUAGCCAGGGAGGCUUACAAACAACAGAAAUUUACUUCUCACACUUCCGGAGGCUGGAAGUCCAAGAUCAAGGCACCAGCAGAUUUGGUGACUGGUGAGAACGCGCUUCUGGGUUCAAAGCUGGUCAUCUUUUCGCUGUGUCCUCACAUGGUGGAAGGGAGGAGGGAGCUCUCUGGGGUCUCUUUCAUAAGGGUAGUAAUCCCAUUCAUGAGAGGUCCACCCGGUGACCUGAUCACCUCCAAGUCUCCAUCUCCUAAUGCCAUCAUAUCGGGUGAAUAGGCUUCAACACAUGAAUUUUGGAGAGACACACACAUUUCGUCUCAGCAACCAUAAUGUUGGAUCCGGAUAUUUUGUCACAGUUGUUUUGAUGCAGAAACACUUUAAUACCUCUGAAUUUAUCCCUUUUGUAAUACCUUUGUCCUCUCUUUUUCUUACUUAACUUUUUACAGUCUGUUCUAUCCAUUUUAAACAGUAUCGGCUCACACUCAAUAUCCAUUGUCAAUGAUAUUAUUCAUUAUAUCAACGAUAUAAUCAUAUGAGAAAGUGAAUAACAAAUAAUGAGAGAGCUGCUCCUUCCCUCUUCCUUCUGCUCUUAUUUAGUGGCAUUCUUUCCAUUUUGCCAGAACGUGUGAUGUUUAUAUACCAUUAUUUCGAUCAUGUCCCCAUCCUUGUUUUAGUCCUCGCUACACAGUUAAGUAUAUUGAAUUUUCAUCAUCAAUUCUUGUGCUGCAAUUUCCCCAGUUGCCUUUUGCUGAAUGCAGCUCAUCCUGGAAGAGAGUUCUCUAGAGGGGCGUGUGUGUCUGUGGUAUUUAUUCCCUGCAGAGUCUUCAAGGUGAGUGAAAGGAGGAGCCUCAGAGAAGCGUUGCUUCUGGACGAGAAUAAGACACAUAGAGAAGCAGUGGUGCCCCUUGUAGACAAUGAAGAAAAAGAAGGAGGCAAGAGGGGAAAGUUUGAGAAUCUUGAUGAAAUUAAAGAAAUACACUUUUACAUUAUAAUGGCCACCCUAUAAUGAAAAAAUCUGUUUUUAUGAUCCAAUUGUAAUUUGAAUGUCCGAAUGUUUCCCAGCCUGUAGGUACAAAUGAUGCUAUGUUAAAGCACAGACUAGCUGUCCUACACUUGAAAGUCCAACCUGUGCAAGCUCAGGAACUCAACAGCUCAUCCUCCUGCCACCACGACCACCCAUUUUCAAGGUCUCCUCCACCCCCAGUACCUUAGAUUCUCUGCUUUGUGUAUCAGUCCACUAAGGACACUUCUUCCAUCCCUGGCCUUGGAGCUCCUACUUCCCUGGGCCCGCUGCCGGCUCCGCUCCCUUGCUACUUUUAGCCAAAUUCUCAUUCCUUGGCUAAGGCUGCCGCACGCUCUACUGAUGCAAUUCUGCUCCAGAAUGUCUGGGAACUCCUACUGGCCACCUGCCUCUGCCCUCUCCAGUGGUUCUCAUCAUUCUACUUGAUCUGCCACCCGGGCUCAGGGCCCUGCCCAUCCAACCACUAAGAAACAGCCAGGGAAACGAGAAACCUCCGUUUAAUGAGGGUGACAGGGUCCUGAGCUGGCAGCUCGACAGGCCCUCAGCCACUGUCUCCUCAGGUGGUUAGGUGUCUUUAUGGGCUCCAGCGAUAGCCUUGAUCCUACUGAGAAUAGCUCCUGCUCCUUUCAGAGUCUUAUUGGCUCCAGCUGGUCCCAUCCUCAGGCUCAGUUAUCUUCCCAGAAUCUAGUCUCCCACACCGUCUUCUAGCUCUUUUCCCAGGAGGCUUCUCAGCCCCAGUGUUAAUCCAUUUGGGCAAAUAGAUGCCCUGGAAGGGAGCACUCACACACCCGGCACAUGUUUUGGUUCUGAGAAAACAUCUGCCCUCCCAGCCCCCUUGCCCAGUUCAUGAACUAGGAUACGUUCUAGGAGAGGGCAGGAAUAUCUCAAGAAAGCACAAAAGCUGAAUGGUUUGUUAGUCCAUUUUAGAAGGAUGUUGAAACACACCUAAUUUCGAAAUUAGAGUCGAAAUGUCAUGCAUCCCAUGAGUCUGGUGGGAAUUCCAGUGCAAACUGGGCUAUGACGGAAAUUACAUUGCUGACCCUGAAUGAAGCUAAUUAGAAGCAUCUCAAUAAUCAAAAGUUAAUUUAAUUCCCCCCGGUAGUUUUAUGAGGCAUUUAAAAAGUUUGUUUGAGUCUAUGUUGUUAAAAAUAAAAGUAACUACCAGCGGGUUCUGAUCCCCUUCAACUUCUACCAGAAAGGAAUACAGUAUUUUCUUAGGUCCUUCUAAGCCCACUCAAUAAUAGAAUUAACCUUGCCCAAUAAAAGAUGGCCCAGGAUCAAGGGGAAAAAAAGACCUACUAAUUUUGGCUCCAUAGAACUUGGGGUCACAUGUUUGAGCUCUGGGAGCCUCAGUGGCAAAUCCUUGAAUUAAUGUAAGUCUAAGGGGAGGAUGGGUAAUUUGGAACCAGUGCUCCGUAACACGGGUCUUAGCUAUUUUACAUAUAGAUUAUAUGGUUGAUAAAACUGAGCACACACAAUGAGCCCCAUGCUUUCAGAGCAUUAUCUUAUUUAAUUCUUACCACAUCCUUGAGGGUAGGAUGUUAAUACCCCAUUUUAUACACAAAGAAACCACCUCUCAUAGAUAUUAAGAGAUUGUCCAAAGUCAUCAGCAAGUAAGAGGGAACUGAACUCAGGUUUAUCUCACUUCAAAACCUAACCUUUUCCCACUGCACGAUGUUGCCUCCCACACACACUGGAGUGUAUUGGAUGCAGAUUCCAUUCUCUGGAUAUGCUUACCUUGGAUUUCUUUACUUCCUUUGGUAUUCUUGGCAAAGAAUGGUUUCCUUGAGCUGUAUGGAUGUUCAUUUAAAUAGUGCUCAGUAUCCAUUCCCACCUCCUUCUAGAGGGCCUUUCUCUCCUGCGGAAGGUGGAAAUCUAGAACCACAUUUCUUAGUCUUUCUCAAAGCUUGGCUUCUACCUAUGAAUUAGGUUCAGUUAUAUGCACCUGCGUGAGAUUAGAAGUCAGAAUUGAAGCAGAAGCCACCUUCCCACGGAUUUGGUUGUAACCAUUGGCAAACGUGAUUGUGAGACAUUGGGACUUUUUAAAGCCGAGUCUUAAUGUUCAGUCACUAAUUUAAUGGGUGUCAAGAGACAGAUAGGGUGGGAGUGACAAGGCCUUCCGGAUUCUCGGGUGUCAGCUAAAGCAGCGUGUUCCCACCGUCAAUACUUCCAGUGACGGCCUCCUGACUUCCGACCUUCUUGCUGGCGGCAGAGGCAGAAGGAACCUCCAGCCUUCCCGACAAUGUUGUAAACACCUGCUUCUCUCUAUUCGAUGCCUUUCUGCUUAAAAUAACUCGUGUGGUUUCUGUUUCCUGCGACUGAACCCUGCUGAUACACAGUUUUCCCUCUUUCCCACUAACUGCUGGUCUUUGCAACUGCCAACCCUUCAAGUGGUGUUUUCAGCUCUAAAAUGAAAGCUUUGAAUAUCUCCAUUGCUCCCUAUCUCCCUUAUCCGGUUUUAUUGUUCUCCAUAGUGUUUAUUGUCACUCCAAGAUUCCUUAUUGGCCCAAUGUCCACCUCUCCUAGAAUUUAAGCUCCAUUGGAAUAAGGGCUUUGUUUUGUUCACUUCUGUAUGGCUCUGUGACACUUAGAACAGUACCAGCAAACAGUGGGAACUGAAUAGAUAGUGUCGAAUGGAUGAAUCUACUUUUCCUAACAGAAACUAAUACUGUAUUAAUGCAUUAGUAAUAGAUUCAUCAAUAAAUACCCUCAAUAAUGCCUCCUCAUGAAGCUUUGACCCAGGUUUAGAAAAUCCCCAAAGAACACAAAAUGGCACACAUUGCCUGGACCGAGGCCUUAAAUUUAGGGUGACCAACUCCUCCCCGUGUGUCUGAGACUUUCCUAGUUUUAGCACUCAAGACCCACAUCCUGGGAAAGCCUUCAGUCCUGGGCAAACCAAGAUGAUCGGUUACCCUGAUUAAAUUCAUGAGGUGCUAAAUAAAGGCAUUUGAAUUAUAUUACUUUAAAUCACUCUUGCAAAUAAAAGUUUGCAAACACGAAUCUUUUAAACCAUCCUGCAGUUUCCUUCCCAUGUCACAGCCAUGCUGCAAAUGAUCCCUGAAGCCAUCAGGUGAAAUUUGAGCAAUAUUUCAAACUGUAUUUUACGUUUUUACUAAAGUUCCUUUUCUGCCUAUACCUUGAACAUGUUAGGGUUCAGCCUGUGAAAUCUCUUCUGUAUUUCCUAGUUACGUUAAAAAUACGAUACAGGAACUUCCUAGAGAAAAGAUGCUACAGCAUCUAUAGUUAGAUCCUAGAUCCUGCAGAGAAGGCGACAGAAGUCUAAGAUUCUAAUUUCGUUGGGAGACAGAAGAGUAAACUGCGGAGAUCUAUCAGUGUUAACGCUAAGAGCGAAUAAAGACUUAGCCUUCACCAACCACAAGACUCACCCUUCUAGCUGCUAACAUUGUUCUGAAGCUUCAGACAGCGAGUUCAAGCAUAACUUGCAUAUUCGAAGUGUCAACGCCUUUGAACUGGUGCAUUAGAGAGAAUUUGGAGAAUAGCAACAUUCUCAGAUCUAACCCAAGUUCCCGGCAGUUGGAACCUCUUGGGGAUUCUUGCUCCCUGAUGAUUCAUGUGGAUGGACGUUUAGGUGUUUAGAUUUUAAAAUGUUCUUCUCAACCGAAACUGAAACUUAAAGAGAUGCUAUCACCCUGGAAUUAUUUUUGCACCUGCGAAAACAGUUGUGUUACUAAAAUCAACUGUUUUCGCACCACGGGCUGUUGCAUGUGACGGUGGUGUUUCGCCAGCCACGUGCGUAAGGGGUUAAGCGAGCGGCAGUUGCGCAAUCCCAGCACAAUACAUUCCACAGAGCCAGCAAUCUCGGUUUGAACAUGUUUAUAAAUCAGAUACAGAGAAACUGACCAAACCUCCAAAGGGCAGCUUGUUUGGAGGAACAGAAGUGCACGUGCUGCUUUUCUUCUUAAGAAAUUGGUCAAAGGACUCCAGAAAAUGCUCUUUUCAGACUGUGUGAACUCUGAAAUGUCCCACGUCUUGAUCCCUCCACAGCAUGACUUAAGUUCUUGGACAGACUUCACAUUUUUACUAAAACUGGCUAUUAGGCCUGGCCACUUCCUUCCUUCAGGCACUAUUUUCAGAAGCAGAGACACGGAGCCCCUGCACCUGUUGUUAGUGUGGCCACAGACGGAAACCUCUGCAAAACCCUCAUCUGUCUGCACAGUAGGUCCAGCGACGCCCAAGUGGAGGCAAGGGACGGUAUGAGUGUCCAGAGGGGCUGGUCAGGGAGCACAGGCGAGGCAGCCUCAGGAGAGAACAUCUCACCCACUAUCUUGUGUCUCCUGACCCGAUUCGCACAACCUGGGCACUCCUCUCCAGGUCUAUGACUGGCCACGUUCCUAAGGGGCGCAGCCAAGGGGCCCAGCCCUGUUCUUUUGACACAGGUCUGGUGGAUCCCAGGGGAGGAGGAGGAGAUCCUGGAGGUGACCGCCUAAUAUGUAGCUGACCUCAUCCCACACAUUGAGACGCACAGGUGACUGAGACACAGCCUCGAGAAGCUUACAGUCCUGUGGACUGCGAUUCCAUGGGGAAGGGGCUACUGCAGCCUGGAAACAGAUGGAGAGGUGGCUCCCAGCCCCCUUGGCUGGUCAGGUUCAGGUCCGGCUGGCUCUGAUCCUCCUGGCCGUGUUUAUGCCACAGGAUGAAAUUUCAGGAUGAAGUGGCUGCGCAGCACCAGGUACAAACCAGCAUCUAACUCCCUUCUCUUUCCAAACCAAAAACUGGUCCUGAGACACUGGAUAGCUGACACUGCAGGCCAGCGACCUCUCUUGGCUCGCUGUUUGCCACUCUCUUCCUAGCAUGCUGUUUGUCUUUCUUCAGUAGAAAUUUGGCAGAAUCAUGGAGUUCUUAUUUUCACCUCUUAUCUGGGUCUGUUUGUCCAUAGCUAGAAUAACAGGGGGCUUUUAAAACCUAAUGAAUUCAACGGUCAAAGAAUGGCCUCAGGCAAAUGGAAUGUCUGAUGUUCCAUCUCUCUGGCUGAGGGCAGGAGGCCAUUUGGGGCUUAACAUCUUUUUCAUUCACAUGCAAAACACUUCCAAAAGCACGAGUUUGAAAACUUAGAAUUUGAAACCAAAUCACUAAUCUUCCUCAUUCUUAACAUUUUUAGCUCAGCAGUGGUUACUUGAUAGCUUAAUACACGUUAGAUUUUGGGGGGAAAAGGAUACUAUUUUGGGCUUUUGAUGUCCAACGGAUUUGUGUGUAUUUCUUAUCCAUGUAUUAUUUCUUCUUCUCUGUAAAUAUAUUUAAAUAGACUAAACACCUCCUUUGGCAGUUACUUCAUCAAAACUUGGAAAAAACGCUCUGGUUGAGCAUGGAUUUAUUUAGAGACUUGCAAAGGUGUUCUGGGUUCCCUCAACCUGACUGGGCAGAAGUCCCUGUCACUGGAUUCACAGCUCACAGCUGUAUAACGCUCCUGGUUUUCAAGGGAGUGAUCCAGAUGCUGGCUGCAAAGAAUGAAGAGAAUUGUUCCAAAGGUUGUUCCACUGAACUUGCUACUUAAAUACACACACACACAACCAAGCCCAUCGUAAAAGCAUAUCAGCUCACACAGAUGCCAGCCGAAUGAAACACGUGUUCCUAGCACUUCCUCUAACUGACAGCAAGGUCUGAGGCUUGAGUCCACGAGAUGCCCCAUCUCAUGGGUUUUUCUUCCUCAUGUCAACGCCAGUCAUUGUGUAACCAGCUUGUUUUCCUAUACCACUGGCAAGUAAUACUUAGAAACAAUAUAGCCUUUCUCAGAAAUAAUUUAAACAUGAUUCUGUUUUUCUUGGCCUUUUGACAAUGGAUGAUUAUCUUUAGUACUUCUAUCGGGCAUUUCCAAAUCCCGAAUUUUCUUUCACCCGGUAAGAUCUGUAAGUCUGGUUACAACCACAGAAGUGAAGGAAGCAAGUGGGGAUGGUGCCUGGGACCCGUAGGCCACUGAAAGGGGCAAGAGGCGAGCUGGCUGCCCCAUCUGUGUUCCGAAGAGGGAAGGGAGACAGAGCAGGAUCCCCAGGCCAUGUGACCCAGGGCCACUUGCUGUGACUGUCUUUUUAAUUUAUUUUAAAACACAAUGACUAAAUGUGGUGUAUUGGUUUGAUAUUAUUUCAAACCCACCUGUUUGACUCAAGCGAAGUUGCUUUAAUCCACUUGUUUAUGACAAAGACAAAUAAAUGAGGUUGCAGUAAAGCUGUUUUGAUACACGAAUGAAGCAAGUCGAAUCGAGAUGUCAUCAUCUCCUCUGUUGUCAUUGAUUAAAAUUCAGCAGCUCAGCUGACGAUGAACAUGAGGAACCCUACUGGGGGCUGAUCACUAAGAACAUGCGGAAAAGCCAGUAUGGCAAGGGGACAUUUAGACUAAAAAUAUCCAGAGUGUGUAAGAAUUAUUCAAGUUGUGGUCUGGGCAAGACGACGCUUUGCUGGUCUAAAUAAAUCCUAUGAAGACCUGGAGGCAUUAGCUCCUACCAUGGUAAGGGCACACUCUUAUUGGUAGUGGCCACAAACCACACAGCGGCCCCAUGAAGGAGACCAGCCUGCCUGCCAACACUGGCACCGUCGUUUCCUAGCAACGUGCUCUAGCAACAGAGGACUUUUAUUUUGCACUGGCAGCUGGAGGUCAGCUCUUGCUUGGUUUAGCCAUCGCCUACUUGUCCGAAAAAGUACACCUCGAUUAAAUUUGGACUUUAUUCCUUUUAUCUCCCCUUGCCUGGAACAACAGUGUGACUAACCUCUUAUUGCUCUGGAGUAUGUUCUUUCUUUACUGGCUUAUUAUGAGACAUUAUCCUGUGUGCUAUUGGCUUGUGAAACUAUUAUAAAUCCCACAGUGAACCUGCGUUAAAUAACAUAUUGGCAGGGACAGUCUCAGUCUUUGAGCUUAAAUUCGCCCACCCCAAACAAAACAUCACAUAAAAGGAUUUAGAUAUAGGUCACGAAGUACUGGACUCGUUUAUUUAGGACCUGGGAGAAGGGUAGGUCCAGUUAAAAAACAAAAUUUAACCGAGUAAAUUUGAAGAUCUAAUCGGCUUUAUUAAAUGGUUCACCAAUUGGGCAGCCUCUCAUCUAGUAAGUAGAAGGGGCUCUGAGGUGUCAUACAGAAUGCAAGGUUUUUAUAGGAAGAGGGGUGGGGAAAGGGAGCUAUUAGCAAAAGACAGGAUUAGUUUUAGGCCAGGCUGUCUCCUCUUGGGGGAAGGGACUGGCAGGGGGCCUUACCACCAGAUUGCCUCUUCUUCUAGGGCUUGGAGAGGGCCCACCUGACGGAUUACCUUACUGUUUCUAGACCAGAAAAUUCCACACUGGUUGAUGAAGAUUAUAUUUCCGGGAGGGGCUGAAACUGCAAUUACAUCAGGAAUCAAAUCUAGGUUUGGUAGCACGGGCUUUAGCACGAGUGACGCCAUUUUGGGCCUGUGGUUUUCUUUUUAACAGUCUUAACCCAAGAGCAUGGUGCUAAGGAAGCCGGGAGCAUCUCUUUCCUCCUCGUCACUCCUCUUUUCACUGAGAAAGUGGGCCUUUCCCUUGAAACUGAGAGGUAGGAGGUACGCAGCUGAGUCUUGGUAUCCUGAUUUUACAGACAUCAUGGAAGAUGGAGAGUGGCGACAGCUCCAUCCCGUGCACACCUGGAUGCCUGAAGAAGGGAACUCACGUGAGACACUCAGCAGCGCUCCUGGUUCAAGGUGAACACUCAGGAGAGGAAGCCAUUCGCAUCCUCACAGAAGGAACCCUCUGGGGUUUCUUGCGGUCAACAAGGGAAAACGUUUCGGUCCCCAAGAAGAAACGCUACUUUGUCAGUCCUGUCUGGUGUUCUAAAGCAGACACACACAAAGCCAGGCAUGGCGCCCAUUAAAAAUUUAACUAUAUAUCAUAUUCAUUUAUUAUCAAUCCACAGGAUAAUUUGAUUGCUACAUGAGCUCAUAAAAGCUUUUCCACCUUUACAAAAUUAAAAAAAAAAAAAAUGUGCCACAAGGA